rnacentral:tRNA from 1 species
GCCUUCGUGGUGUAACGGUUAGCACAGCGCGUAUUCGAGAGGUCCAGGUUCGAGUCCCGGCGAGGGCA